rnacentral:lncRNA from 1 species
GCGGUGGCUGCCCGAACCAAGGCUGAGACUGUUUGCCCUGAUGCCCUGUCAGCUGCCACCCCAGUUGCUUAGAGAGACAGCAUCGACUGUGACCCAUUUGACUGCAGGGGAGGGAGGCGAGCACCUGGCUAUGGGGCACAGGACAUGAGGGCAGUAGGAUGGCUGUGUGGGAGCUGCAUAGCCUUAGCGUCCUCUUCAUGACAGACGGUGGGAUUGGUGUUUUCUUGACCUGCUGGCACUCGUAGCCAUUGGUAACAAGUCUUAUUUUUCGUUUUAAAGAUGAGAAAGAUGAAGCUCGGGCUGGUUAAAUGACUUGCUCAGCGUCCAUGGCCUAGCCGCCCGGUGCCUCCCCUCUGCUCCUGCAUGACGGGCAGCGCCUCCUCCGGCCCCUCCAGUGCUGUCCGCUGUCUAGCAGCCCUAGGAGCUUGUCAGCCGCACCUCUGGGACUGGCCCCUCCUUUCGGUGCUGCCGUCCUAUGGGGUCUUGAUUUCUGGAUACAUGUAGCUUUGCCAGAUAUGUACUUAGAAAUAUCAACCGUGUUAAUAAGCCCAUUAAUGUGUAACACACAAGUUUAACAGUUAAGAGAGAGUAGCUGUUCAUCUUGAGGACAGGCGUUAGUGUCACACAGGUUUAUUACAGUGGCAUGAUAGUGACCUGUGCAGUCACUGAGCUGUAGGAGUGAGGCAUGUGCUGCACGUCCCUGUCGUACUUAGAGACCUGGCAGUGCCCUGCUCCGGGCCUCCCCAGGACACACUGACGUAGAUUUGCUGUGUAGUCUUGGUGUGGAAAUUUGAAUUCUGCUUUUCACUACUAAUCUGAAGUGCUCCGUGAUGUGUGUAUGUGUCUUUCUAACUUCUAAUAAACUCACUCCAGCUG